GUCCCUUUGAGGACAUCCAAUAAACUUGGAACGAUACAGAGAAGAUUAGUAUGACUCUUGCGCAAGGAUGAUACACAUAAAUCGAGAUAUGCUUCAACUUUUU